AGAUGUGAGGGCAAUCAGGCUGUGGCGUCUGUUGCCCCAUUGAUCACCAAAAUUUAUUUAGUUGCCUUGCCUGGCUAGGCAAGUGUCCCCUUCCUCCAUCACUCCACACAUGUCCCUCCCAAAGCUGCACUCUCAGUCUAAGAGUAUGACCUUCCCUGACAGGGGAGGACUUCUCUUCAGUCAAGGGUAUCUGUGUAGCAGCGCUCUCAUGCUGCAAUCUUCAAACAAGUUCUCAAGUUCCAGACUGUCCAGUGUCAUGCCAUACACUGCUGACAACCACAGAUCUUGCUUCU
ensembl:misc_RNA 7SK 7SK RNA